rnacentral:rRNA from 1 species
ACGGGGGAUUGCCUUAGUACGGCGAGUGAAGCGGCAAAAGCUCAAAUUUGAAAUCUGGUACCUUCGGUGCCCGAGUUGUAAUUUGGAGAGGGCAACUUUGGGGCCGUUCCUUGUCUAUGUUCCUUGGAACAGGACGUCAUAGAGGGUGAGAAUCCCGUGUGGCGAGGAGUGCGGUUCUUUGUAAAGUGCCUUCGAAGAGUCGAGUUGUUUGGGAAUGCAGCUCUAAGUGGGUGGUAAAUUCCAUCUAAAGCUAAAUAUUGGCGAGAGACCGAUAGCGAACAAGUACAGUGAUGGAAAGAUGAAAAGAACUUUGAAAAGAGAGUGAAAAAGUACGUGAAAUUGUUGAAAGGGAAGGGCAUUUGAUCAGACAUGGUGUUUUGUGCCCUCUGCUCCUUGUGGGUAGGGGAAUCUCGCAUUUCACUGGGCCAGCAUCAGUUUUGGUGGCAGGAUAAAUCCAUAGGAAUGUAGCUUGCCUCGGUAAGUAUUAUAGCCUGUGGGAAUACUGCCAGCUGGGACUGAGGACUGCGACGUAAGUCAAGGAUGCUGGCAUAAUGGUUAUAUGCCGCCCGUCUUGAAACCCCGACACACA